GUGAAUCAUCGAAUUUUUGAACGCAAAUUGCACUCUCUGGUAUUCCGGAGAGUAUGCCUGUUUGAGGGUCAGUUUAAAUAAAAAUCGGUGUGGUUGCUGCCUUUCGUGGUGACGUACCGGAUUUGGGUCGUCUUUCCUUCGGUUAAGUGUCCUAAAAUUUUUCAUGAUUUUUUCGAACGUAUUUAAAUGAUUUUAUUAAAGUUUUCGAUU
rnacentral:misc_RNA from 1 species